GCUACAACCGAUUGUUACAUCAACGUUUUCCUCCAUGAUCGAGAGAUAGAGUCGUCGUUUGGAGGAGUUUUUGAUGGUGCAACCCAGACAGAGCUUUGUUGCUUGCGAUUUGUGAAUUUGGAUUUUGAUCAAGGAAUAGAUUCGGCAAAGAAGACCUCAUUUG